GCAGUCGAACGCGUGUAGCAAUACACGAGUGGCGCACGGGUGAGUAACGCGUGGAUAUCUGCCUUUUGGUUCGGAAUAACUCCGGGAAACUGGAGCUAAUACCGGAUGGUUCCUACGGGAUAAAGAUUUAUCGCCAAAAGAUGAGUCCGCGUACGAUUAGCUAGUUGGUGAGGUAAUGGCUCACCAAGGCGACGAUCGUUAGCUGGUCUGAGAGGACGAUCAGCCACACUGGGACUGAGACACGGCCCAGACUCCUACGGGAGGCAGCAGUGGGGAAUAUUGGACAAUGGGGGCAACCCUGAUCCAGCCAUGCCGCGUGAGUGAUGAAGGCCUUCGGGUUGUAAAGCUCUUUUGGCGGGGACGAUGAUGACGGUACCCGCAGAAUAAGCCCCGGCUAACUUCGUGCCAGCAGCCGCGGUAAGACGAAGGGGGCUAGCGUUGUUCGGAAUUACUGGGCGUAAAGCGAGUGUAGGUGGUUGUCAUAGUCAGGUGUGAAAGCCUUGAGCUCAACUCAAGAAAUGCACUUGAUACUGGGCGACUAGAGGACCGGAGAGGAUAGUGGAAUUCCCAGUGUAGUGGUGAAAUACGUAGAGAUUGGGAAGAACACCAGUGGCGAAGGCGGCUAUCUGGACGGUUUCUGACACUAAGAC
rnacentral:rRNA from 1 species